CACACACCAACAACUAAAAUGUAUUAUAGCAUGAGGAAAUGUGGGAAUGUCCUGACACCAUGUGCAAAAGCACCAAGUCACCAAGGCUGAUCUCACCCAGUACCCACGUUCCUGUGCUAAAAGGUUCUCCCUGGUGGGUAGCCAGCAUGUUGCCAAGCCACAGCUCCUCAGACAUGACGCCCACCUAAGCCUCAGGGUUGUUCAGUCCUCAGCCAGUCCCCAUAUGAACACUUCCUUCCGAAAGCCUGUAUAUCAAGAGAGAAGGCAGUGGGGUAUCAGAAAAGCUUACUGCACUUAGACUUAAGUGAGACUAAAUGGAAACAGCUCAAAAUAUUCCAUGUCCUGCCCCCAGACCCAGGGACUAAAUUGAUGGUUCCUUCAGAAGCCACAUUAAACCUUUCAUGUGCUGAUCAUAAAACUCCAGAGAACCCAUCAACCAGCCGGCAACAAAAUGAUGAGGUAAUGCUAAGUAAAUUCUUUAUUGUCCACAAGCAUGGAAGAGUGAGACAAAUUGUCUUAUCCAGGAACCAAUAA
rnacentral:lncRNA from 12 species